GACGAACGCUGGCGGCGUGCCUAAUACAUGCAAGUCGAACGAACCGCGACUGAGUGCUUGCACUUGGUCAAGGUGAGUGGCGAACGGGUGAGUAACACGUGGGUAACCUACCUCAUAGUGGGGGAUAACAGUCGGAAACGACUGCUAAUACCGCAUAGGACAUAGGAUCACAUGAUCCAGUGAGGAAAGGUGGCGCAAGCUAUCGCUAAGAGAUGGACCCGCGGUGCAUUAGCUAGUUGGUAGGGUAAAGGCCUACCAAGGCGAUGAUGCAUAGCCGACCUGAGAGGGUGAUCGGCCACAUUGGGACUGAGACACGGCCCAAACUCCUACGGGAGGCAGCAGUAGGGAAUCUUCCGCAGUGGACGCAAGUCUGACGGAGCAACGCCGCGUGAGUGAAGAAGGUCUUCGGAUCGUAAAGCUCUGUUGUUAGAGAAGAACAGCGCAUAGAGUAACUGCUAUGCGUGUGACGGUAUCUAACCAGAAAGCCACGGCUAACUACGU
rnacentral:rRNA from 1 species